GGUGGUGAUGCUCGUCAGACGUUGUUUCUGUUUUUCGGGGAACCUUUUGGAUUGAUUCUUAGCAAUAAAUUAAGCCUUUGACACUGGGAGGAAAAUUGUUGGUUUUAUAUCCCUGUAGACAGUGAAAUAAAAUAGGUCAGGAUCGGCUUCUAAAAAGGAUACUUUCUUCGCAAGUGACUCCUCGCAAUGUGAUGAACUAGUGUUUUGUUUUGCUUUUUAUUUCACAAAUUUGAGACAAAAUAUUUCUGCUUUUAUGAAAGAAGAAAGUAUCAUGAAACUUAUAAUACCAGGGAUAUUCUGCUUUAUGAUGUUUAUUCAAUUGAAACUUCGCAAGAAAUAAUCCCAUUCAUCAUGAGCAUCUACAGUGAGUGAUGAAGAUAAUUUCCAGUAACUACUCUCCAAGGCUGCAGACUUUAUCAAAAUCGAAACGUCGUCAAGUGUCAAUCUGUUGGAACUUUGUGACUAUGCUGGACAUCAACAGAGAAACAUUAUCCUGCUCUCGCCAUUUCGUCAUAUAGUCCCGUGUAGGUCCUGACAGCGAAGAAACCUGAAGGGAUCAAUCUGUAGUAAGAACUAAAAAGUUUAUAAUACAAACAUUUGUAUUUUUAUUUAUGUGCCGAAAAAAAUUUUAAUAAA